GAUUUGGGCAGAGAAGGUUAUACCAGCUUCCUGGAAAAAUGGGGUGAUAUGUGAUUCUGAGGAGUCUUGCUGGAUGACUUACAUGUUGCCGAAGAUCUUGCUGUAACUGAAACAACAUAUGUUAAGUAUCAACACUGAAAAUGCUAUAUUUCAGGGAUCUCGGUGACAAAGAAAGUUUCCCUCCCAUUGUGUGAUGUAGUUUAUGUUCUUUGAAUUCAUUCUAACUUAAUUGAACAGUAGAACCGCCAAAGAAGUUAAGUAUCAGGUUGAUACAUGCUACUUAACAAGGAAAAAAUAUGCCUUAUAUAAAUUUCUAUAUAAUAUUAAUCGCAAGAAACUAUUUUUCAUGUGUUCAAUUUUCUACAAGUUUUUGUUAUAGAGACUCGUGGAGUAUUAAGUGGCAUGGUUAGACGGCUUUCGAUUGAUCAAUUUAAAAAUGGAGGCAGGCGGGUCAGUAAUGGCACUCCAAAUAAUGUAAAUGCUGCUAGAAAGUUAUUAUUCUGGAGCAUUUAGAAGUCAAGGAAUGUUGAGUUCCAGUCUUGAAGAGAAGACUGGGGUGGACACAUUCAAUUCUUCACUUGCUUCAUUAGUUCCAUCAGCUUUCUAUAAGGAACUGCUUCAUUAGAGGAUCAGUGGUGACAUAUGUGCAAUUGCCUCCAGAAGGUGUGGACAUUGAACUAUUGCACGAUGCCACAAGGAGAGAAUCCCGGGGUGGUUGAUUUUGUUAUUAAUUAUUAUUGUAAUGUAUCAUACAAGACAUCUAUUGGCUGGAAUAUUAUAUAUGUUAUCGUUCAUGCUUAAGAAAGAAACCAUUAGAGGAUGCCAAGGCUAUGUAUCUUAAGAAUUUUUCUGCUGUUAUCAUUCAUGCUUAAGAAAGAAAC